AUUGAACGCUGGCGGCAGGCCUAACACAUGCAAGUCGAGCGGAUGAAGGGAGCUUGCUCCUGGAUUCAGCGGCGGACGGGUGAGUAAUGCCUAGGAAUCUGCCUGGUAGUGGGGGAUAACGUCCGGAAACGGGCGCUAAUACCGCAUACGUCCUGAGGGAGAAAGGGGGGGAUCUUCGGACCUCACGCUAUCAGAUGAGCCUAGGUCGGAUUAGCUAGUUGGUGGGGUAAAGGCCUACCAAGGCGACGAUCCGUAACUGGUCUGAGAGGAUGAUCAGUCAUACUGGAACUGAGACACGGUCCAGACUCCUACGGGAGGCAGCAGUGGGGAAUAUUGGACAAUGGGCGCAAGCCUGAUCCAGCCAUGCCGCGUGUGUGAAGAAGGUCUUCGGAUUGUAAAGCACUUUAAGUUGGGAGGAAGGGCAGUAAGUUAAUACCUUGCUGUUUUGACGUUACCAACAGAAUAAGCACCGGCUAACUUCGUG
rnacentral:rRNA from 1 species